rnacentral:rRNA from 2 species
GAAAGGCCAAUCAAACCGGGAGAUAGCUGGUUCUCCCCGAAAGCUAUUUAGGUAGCGCCUCGUGAAUUCAUCUCCGGGGGUAGAGCACUGUUUCGGCAAGGGGGUCAUCCCGACUUACCAACCCGAUGCAAACUGCGAAUACCGGAGAAUGUUAUCACGGGAGACACACGGCGGGUGCUAACGUCCGUCGUGAAGAGGGAAACAACCCAGACCGCCAGCUAAGGUCCCAAAGUCAUGGUUAAGUGGGAAACGAUGUGGGAAGGCCCAGACAGCCAGGAUGUUGGCUUAGAAGCAGCCAUCAUUUAAAGAAAGCGUAAUAGCUCACUGGUCGAGUCGGCCUGCGCGGAAGAUGUAACGGGGCUAAACCAUGCACCGAAGCUGCGGCAGCGACGCUUAUGCGUUGUUGGGUAGGGGAGCGUUCUGUAAGCCUGCGAAGGUGUGCUGUGAGGCAUGCUGGAGGUAUCAGAAGUGCGAAUGCUGACAUAAGUAACGAUAAAGCGGGUGAAAAGCCCGCUCGCCGGAAGACCAAGGGUUCCUGUCCAACGUUAAUCGGGGCAGGGUGAGUCGACCCCUAAGGCGAGGCCGAAAGGCGUAGUCGAUGGGAAACAGGUUAAUAUUCCUGUACUUGGUGUUACUGCGAAGGGGGGACGGAGAAGGCUAUGUUGGCCGGGCGACGGUUGUCCCGGUUUAAGCGUGUAGGCUGGUUUUCCAGGCAAAUCCGGAAAAUCAAGGCUGAGGCGUGAUGACGAGGCACUACGGUGCUGAAGCAACAAAUGCCCUGCUUCCAGGAAAAGCCUCUAAGCAUCAGGUAACAUCAAAUCGUACCCCAAACCGACACAGGUGGUCAGGUAGAGAAUACCAAGGCGCUUGAGAGAACUCGGGUGAAGGAACUAGGCAAAAUGGUGCCGUAACUUCGGGAGAAGGCACGCUGAUAUGUAGGUGAAGUCCCUCGCGGAUGGAGCUGAAAUCAGUCGAAGAUACCAGCUGGCUGCAACUGUUUAUUAAAAACACAGCACUGUGCAAACACGAAAGUGGACGUAUACGGUGUGACGCCUGCCCGGUGCCGGAAGGUUAAUUGAUGGGGUUAGCGCAAGCGAAGCUCUUGAUCGAAGCCCCGGUAAACGGCGGCCGUAACUAUAACGGUCCUAAGGUAGCGAAAUUCCUUGUCGGGUAAGUUCCGACCUGCACGAAUGGCGUAAUGAUGGCCAGGCUGUCUCCACCCGAGACUCAGUGAAAUUGAACUCGCUGUGAAGAUGCAGUGUACCCGCGGCAAGACGGAAAGACCCCGUGAACCUUUACUAUAGCUUGACACUGAACAUUGAGCCUUGAUGUGUAGGAUAGGUGGGAGGCUUUGAAGUGUGGACGCCAGUCUGCAUGGAGCCGACCUUGAAAUACCACCCUUUAAUGUUUGAUGUUCUAACGUGGGCCCCUUACCGGGGUUGCGGACAGUGUCUGGUGGGUAGUUUGACUGGGGCGGUCUCCUCCUAAAGAGUAACGGAGGAGCACGAAGGUUGGCUAAUCCUGGUCGGACAUCAGGAGGUUAGUGCAAUGGCAUAAGCCAGCUUGACUGCGAGCGUGACGGCGCGAGCAGGUGCGAAAGCAGGUCAUAGUGAUCCGGUGGUUCUGAAUGGAAGGGCCAUCGCUCAACGGAUAAAAGGUACUCCGGGGAUAACAGGCUGAUACCGCCCAAGAGUUCAUAUCGACGGCGGUGUUUGGCACCUCGAUGUCGGCUCAUCACAUCCUGGGGCUGAAGUAGGUCCCAAGGGUAUGGCUGUUCGCCAUUUAAAGUGGUACGCGAGCUGGGUUUAGAACGUCGUGAGACAGUUCGGUCCCUAUCUGCCGUGGGCGCUGGAGAACUGAGGGGGGCUGCUCCUAGUACGAGAGGACCGGAGUGGACGCAUCACUGGUGUUCGGGUUGUCAUGCCAAUGGCACUGCCCGGUAGCUAAAUGCGGAAGAGAUAAGUGCUGAAAGCAUCUAAGCACGAAACUUGCCCCGAGAUGAGUUCUCCCUGACUCCUUGAGAGUCCUGAAGGAACGUUGAAGACGACGACGUUGAUAGGCCGGGUGUGUAAGCGCAGCGAUGCGUUGAGCUAACCGGUACUAAUGAACCGUGAGGCUUAACCUU